UACGGGGGUGCAAACGUUGCUCGGAAUUAUUGGGCGUAAAGCGCACGUAGGCGGCUUUGCAAGUCGGAUGUGAAAUCCCUCGGCUCAACCAAGGAAGUGCAUCCGAAACUGCAGAGCUAGAGUACUAAAGAGGGUCGCGGAAUUCUCGGUGUAGAGGUGAAAUUCGUAGAUAUCGGGAGGAACACCGGUGGCGAAGGCGGCGACCUGGGUAGAUACUGACGCUGAGGUGCGAAAGCGUGGGGAGCAAACAGGG
rnacentral:rRNA from 1 species